rnacentral:rRNA from 1 species
AUUUUUCCAUUGACUNUUUGUNGACUCCAAAUUUUGACCUUUAAGUACUUUUUCGGGCAUUUUCGUGGUUUGUGCUAUAUUACGGACCCCAAAUUACUCUUUUAAGCAUUGUUUUCGAAUAUUUUUCAUGCAUCAAAGCUCGUUAAGACUAGAUGGGGUAUCCCUACAUGGCGGGUGGGACCCUCGGCGAACGGUUCAUCAGAACUUAAAAAAAGAAUAUAUACGAUUGCAUUGCAUAUACUAACGGAUGCGAUCAUACCAGCACUAAUGCACCGGAUCCCAUCAGAACUCCGCAGUUAAGCGUGCUUGGGCGAGAGUAGUAACUAGGAUGGGUGACCUUCCGGGAAGUUCCUCGUGUUGCAUCCCUCUUUUUUUUUUUUUUUUUUUGG